AAGUCGAGCGGUAACGGGAAGAAGCUUGCUUCUUUGCCGACGAGCGGCGGACGGGUGAGUAAUGCUUGGGAACAUGCCUAGAGGUGGGGGACAACAGUUGGAAACGACUGCUAAUACCGCAUAAUGUCUACGGACCAAAGGGGGGGCUCUUCGGACCUCUUGCCUCUAGAUUGGCCCAAGUGAGAUUAGCUUGAUGGUGGGGUAAAGGCCUACCAUGGCGACGAUCUCUAGCUGGUUUGAGAGGAUGAUCAGCCACACUGGGACUGAGACACGGCCCAGACUCCUACGGGAGGCAGCAGUGGGGAAUAUUGCACAAUGGGGGAAACCCUGAUGCAGCCAUGCCGCGUGUGUGAAGAAGGCCUUCGGGUUGUAAAGCACUUUCAGUAAGGAGGAAAGGGUGCAGGUUAAUACCCUGUAUCUGUGACGUUACUUACAGAAGAAGCACCGGCUAACUCCGUGCCAGCAGCCGCGGUAAUACGGAGGGUGCGAGCGUUAAUCGGAAUUACUGGGCGUAAAGCGUGCGUAGGCGGAUUGUUAAGCGAGAUGUGAAAUCCCGGGGCUCAACCUCGGAACUGCAUUUCGAACUGGCAGUCUAGAGUAUUGUAGAGGGUGGUGGAAUUUCCAGUGUAGCGGUGAAAUGCGUAGAG
rnacentral:rRNA from 1 species